rnacentral:tRNA from 1 species
GCCAGAGUGGUGUAGUGGUUUGAGUAUUGGACUAAGACUCUGGAGACCAGGGUUUGAAUCCCGGCCUGGCC